UACGGAGGAUGCGAGCGUUAUCCGGAUUUAUUGGGUUUAAAGGGUGCGUAGGCGGACGCUUAAGUCAGCGGUAAAAUUGCGGGGCUCAACCUCGUCGAGCCGUUGAAACUGGGUGCCUUGAGUGGGCGAGAAGUACGCGGAAUGCGUGGUGUAGCGGUGAAAUGCAUAGAUAUCACGCAGAACUCCGAUUGCGAAGGCAGCGUACCGGCGCCCUACUGACGCUCAGGCACGAAAGCGUGGGUAUCGAACAGG
rnacentral:rRNA from 1 species